UGGGGAAUAUUGGACAAUGGGCGAAAGCCUGAUCCAGCCAUGCCGCGUGUGUGAAGAAGGUCUUCGGAUUGUAAAGCACUUUAAGUUGGGAGGAAGGGCAUUAACCUAAUACGUUAGUGUUUUGACGUUACCGACAGAAUAAGCACCGGCUAACUCUGUGCCAGCAGCCGCGGUAAUACAGAGGGUGCAAGCGUUAAUCGGAAUUACUGGGCGUAAAGCGCGCGUAGGUGGUGUGGUAAGUUGGAUGUGAAAUCCCCGGGCUCAACCUGGGAACUGCAUUCAAAACUGACUGACUAGAGUAUGGUAGAGGGUGGUGGAAUUUCCUGUGUAGCGGUGAAAUGCGUAGAUAUAGGAAGGAACACCAGUGGCGAAGGCGACCACCUGGACUAAUACUGACACUGAGGUGCGAAAGCGUGGGGAGCAAACA
rnacentral:rRNA from 1 species